UGGAGCAAGAGGAUCGGAUGACUGACAAGCACAAGGUAUGUCCAACCAAUCAUCAUACAACAUUGAAUUAAAUUCAUCCAAACUUGAAUUUUGCAAAAUUCAAGCUUGGGGGAGUACUUUACAUAAAAACAUCAUUUGCCAUGUUGCUAUGUUGGUUGUCCUUACCUUUGAGACAUGCUCAAUUUGUUAAAUACUAAUCACACUACUUCAUCUCCACUUGAGUAGAUCUCUAUAAAUGCUCUCAUGCUACCUUUAUUUGCUUAAGUAUAUGUCUAGGUUU
rnacentral:lncRNA from 1 species